rnacentral:rRNA from 1 species
AUGAAACACUCCUACGGGAGGCAGCAGUGGGGAAUAUUGCACAAUGGGCGAAAGCCUGAUGCAGCAACGCCGCGUGAGCGAAGAAGGCCUUUGGGUCGUAAAGCUCUGUUGAGAGGGAAGAAAAAAUGACGGUACCUCUUGAGGAAGCCCCGGCUAACUACGUGCCAGCAGCCGCGGUAAUACGUAGGGGGCGAGCGUUAUCCGGAUUUACUGGGCGUAAAGGGUGCGUAGGUGGUCCUUCAAGUCGGUGGUUAAAGGCUACGGCUCAACCGUAGUAAGCCGCCGAAACUGGAGGACUUGAGUGCAGGAGAGGAAAGUGGAAUUCCCAGUGUAGCGGUGAAAUGCGUAGAUAUUGGGAGGAACACCAGUAGCGAAGGCGGCUUUCUGGACUGCAACUGACACUGAGGCACGAAAACGUGGGUAGCAAACAGGAUUAGAAACCCCGGUAGUCCGAAGUUC